UACGUAGGGUGCAAGCGUUGUCCGGAAUUAUUGGGCGUAAAGAGCUCGUAGGCGGUCUGUCGCGUCGGCUGUGAAAACUCGGGGCUCAACCCCGAGCCUGCAGUCGAUACGGGCAGACUAGAGUGCUGUAGGGGAGACUGGAAUUCCUGGUGUAGCGGUGGAAUGCGCAGAUAUCAGGAGGAACACCGAUGGCGAAGGCAGAUCUCUGGGCCGUAACUGACGCUGAGGAGCGAAAGCGUGGGGAGCGAACAGG
rnacentral:rRNA from 1 species